rnacentral:rRNA from 1 species
GAUGAACGCUGGCGGCGUGCCUAAUACAUGCAAGUCGAGCGAACAGACGAGGAGCUUGCUCCUCUGACGUUAGCGGCGGACGGGUGAGUAACACGUGGAUAACCUACCUAUAAGACUGGGAUAACUUCGGGAAACCGGAGCUAAUACCGGAUAAUAUAUUGAACCGCAUGGUUCAAUAGUGAAAGACGGUUUUGCUGUCACUUAUAGAUGGAUCCGCGCUGCAUUAGCUAGUUGGUAAGGUAACGGCUUACCAAGGCAACGAUGCGUAGCCGACCUGAGAGGGUGAUCGGCCACACUGGAACUGAGACACGGUCCAGACUCCUACGGGAGGCAGCAGUAGGGAAUCUUCCGCAAUGGGCGAAAGCCUGACGGAGCAACGCCGCGUGAGUGAUGAAGGUCUUCGGAGCGUAAAACUCUGUUAUUAGGGAAGAACAAAUGUGUAAGUAACUAUGCACGUCUUGACGGUACCUAAUCAGAAAGCCACGGCUAACUACG